rnacentral:rRNA from 1 species
CUACGUGCCAGCAGCCGCGGUAAUACGGAGGGUGCGAGCGUUAAUCGGAAUAACUGGGCGUAAAGGGCACGCAGGCGGUUAUUUAAGUGAGGUGUGAAAGCCCCGGGCUUAACCUGGGAAUUGCAUUUCAGACUGGGUAACUAGAGUACUUUAGGGAGGGGUAGAAUUCCACGUGUAGCGGUGAAAUGCGUAGAGAUGUGGAGGAAUACCGAAGGCGAAGGCAGCCCCUUGGGAAUGUACUGACGCUCAUGUGCGAAAGCGUGGGGAGCAAACAGGAUUAGAUACCCUGGUAGUCCACGCUGUAAACGAUGUCGAUUUGGGGAUUGGGCUUUGAGCUUGGUGCCCGUAGCUAACGUGAUAAAUCGACCGCCUGGGGAGUACGGCCGCAAGGUUAAAACUCAAAUGAAUUGACGGGGGCCCGCACAAGCGGUGGAGCAUGUGGUUUAAUUCGAUGCAACGCGAAGAACCUUACCUACUCUUGACA